rnacentral:rRNA from 1 species
AUCCAGACUCCUACGGGAGGCAGCAGUGGGGAAUAUUGCACAAUGGGGGAAACCCUGAUGCAGCAACGCCGCGUGAGUGAAGAAGUCCUUCGUGAUGUAAAGCUCUAUCAGCAGGGAAGAAAAUGACGGUACCUGAGUAAGAAGCCCCGGCUAACUACGUGCCAGCAGCCGCGGUAAUACGUAGGGGGCAAGCGUUAUCCGGAUUUACUGGGCGUAAAGGGAGCGUAGGCGGACUUUUAAGUGAGAUGUGAAAUACUCGGGCUCAACUUGAGUGCUGCAUUUCAAACUGGAAGUCUAGAGUGCAGGAGAGGAGAAUGGAAUUCCUAGUGUAGCGGUGAAAUGCGUAGAGAUUAGGAAGAACACCAGUGGCGAAGGCGAUUCUCUGGACUGUAACUGACGCUGAGGCUCGAAAGCGUGGGGAGCAAACAGGAUUAGAUACCCGUGUA